UGGGGAAUAUUGCACAAGGGGCGCAAGCCUGAUGCAGCCAUGCCGCGUGUAAGAAGAAGGCAUUCGGGUGGGAAAGCAAUUGCAGCGGGGAGGAAGGAGAUAAGGUGAAGAACAUUGUCGAGGGAGGGUACCCGCAGAAGAAGCACCGGAUAACUCCGUGCCAGCAGCCGCGGUAAUACGGAGGGUGCAAGCGUUAAUCGGAAUUACUGGGCGUAAAGCGCACGCAGGCGGUCUGUCAAGUCGGAUGUGAAAUCCCCGGGCUCAACCUGGGAACUGCAUUCGAAACUGGCAGGCUAGAGUCUUGUAGAGGGGGGUAGAAUUCCAGGUGUAGCGGUGAAAUGCGUAGAGAUCUGGAGGAAUACCGGUGGCGAAGGCGGCCCCCUGGACAAAGACUGACGCUCAGGUGCGAAAGCGUGGGGAGCAAACAGG
rnacentral:rRNA from 1 species